rnacentral:lncRNA from 1 species
UGUACUAGUACACUUUGCCCAGACUGCAGUUUUUCAUUGUUCGACUUCUCUUCGCGCCGAGCAAUACUAAAAUCCUUUCAACUCCUUUAGAACUCCUUUUUAACCCUUUCAACAUUGUUGGAACGAUAAUUGGAACUUGUCCAAUUAUUCCUUUCGCGCACUUUAGUCAAUUUGGCUAAAGUUCGAUAUUUUCUACCGAGUUUCGGUACAUUACAUUCUCCACCCCUUAAAAUUAGUUUCGUCCGCGAAACUAACUUGAUUAAAAUCCAGAUUUCAUACCUCAGUCCAGAUUCUCGAAUAGAUGGGGAUAAUGCUCCCGCAUCGCGCUCUCGAGCUCCCAAGUGGCUUCUCGAUCAUCGUGGUUGCACUAACGGACUUUUACAUACGGAAUCUCACGGUUCCGUAGUUUUUUCACUUCUCGAUCGAUGAUGUAUGCCGG